ensembl:snRNA U6 U6 spliceosomal RNA
GUGCUUCCUUCAGCAGCAUAUAUACUAAAAUUGGAAUGACACAGAGGAGAUUAACAUGGCCCCUAUGCAAGGAUGACAUACAAAUUUGUGAAGCAUUCCACAUUUUU